rnacentral:rRNA from 1 species
UUCCUACGGGACGCAGCAGUGAGGAAUAUUGGUCAAUGGUCGGGAGACUGAACCAGCCAAGCCGCGUGAGGGAGGAAGGUACAGAGUAUCGUAAACCUCUUUUGUCAGGGAACAAAGGCGGGGACGUGUCCCCGGAUGAGUGUACCUGAAGAAAAAGCAUCGGCUAACUCCGUGCCAGCAGCCGCGGUAAUACGGAGGAUGCGAGCGUUAUCCGGAUUUAUUGGGUUUAAAGGGUGCGCAGGCGGGAGAUCAAGUCAGCGGUAAAAUGUCGGGGCUCAACCCCGGCCGGCCGGUGAAAACGGGUU